CUAAGCCAAUGUGGCUGCUAAAGCUGAAACAAUACAGGCACGCCUCUGGAAGGGAGGAAGGAAGGAGAGAAGGCAAGACGUUGCCUCAGUCUGCCACAUGCCUCUGAAGACAUGCAGUGUCCGGGGUGUAAUUUCCCCCUGUCUCCAGCUGUGGUCAGUGACGUGUGCUUAAUCGUGCAGCACUUCCUCUCUCUGCCCCUCGUGACCACCCAACUUGAGUCAGAUAGAUGGAGAGGGAAGGACAGAGUGACCAAGCAUCAAGUUACUCUCCUGGACGGUCCAGUAUAGAGCACUGAGCACCCGCUGGGCCACGGUGGCAUGUUAAUCUCCCCCUUCAUGAUGCUCCUCACCACUGUGCAGCUCCUACCCUGCCAGAUGGUCCAUCAGGAAGUGAACCCAGUGGUAGCCCCUGCUCCAUCCCUCUCGGUGCUGCAGGCAAAGGAGGAGUAUUUCCUUGGAGAUGCUGUUACGCUGGUGUGCACCACUCCCCCCACCAUCACCGGGAAGCGUUUGUACCAACUUUUUGGUGAGGCCGGCUGGGCACUAUCAGAGUUUAGCUGCAGGAACAACUACACCCACAAGUUCAUCCUCUCCCAAAUGCAGCAUAGGGGGCCACAUUUCUGCAGCUACAGCCUGCAGAAAGCCCAGAGGUCAUUCAGAUCCCCACCCAGUGAAAAACUGAUGAUCAAGAUUGAGGAACCUCUUCCCCAACCACUGCUGAUGGUGGAGUCACCACUGGGAGAGGUUAUGAGAGGAGAUCUCCUAAGAAUCAUCUGCAAGGCCCCUGGAAAUGCCACUGAGCGGAGGUUUCACUUCUACAGGGAUGGGGGAGAGUUCCCCCCCAGGAAGGCAGGUUCUGAGAACAACACAUCUGAGAGAGAGGACAUUUUGAAGAAUGCCAUGGUCCUCCACUUUCUGCAUUCUGGCCCCCAACACAGUGGAAACUUUACCUGCAAGUAUGAGGAAAAGAUACAUGGGAGGUGGAUCCCCUCCCUCACAAGCCAAGCCAUGAAUGUCAAUAUUAAUAGCAACAAGAGAGACUCCCCAUUACAGUCUGGAGACAGACUCACCAGGACCUCCCAAACAGCCUGUAGAUCCCUGUCCACCCUGCAACCCCAGUCCAGCACUCAGCAUCAUGAGUAUGAGCAGGAUGAGUGAAAGAAGACAUGUUGGGCAUUUCCAGCCCCUCAAGACCAAUCCCCAUGUAUGACACAUCCAGAAAGGUUGAUAUAUCAGACCCAGGCUGUAGGAUAAAGCAAGAACUGUUUCCUGGGAGAAAAGAAGUGGGAGAGAGAGUAGAAAAGGGUUAUCAUUUUACAUGGGAAAGGGGGGGGGAGUAGGGAGACAAAGGUGGUAAGAGGUGUGAGAGAGAAACAGGAAAUCAGUGAAAGAAAGAGAAGAGGAGAGAGUGAGAAAUGAAAAAUAAAGAAAAUGAGAGAAAAAAGUGAGUGAAAAAG
rnacentral:lncRNA from 1 species